rnacentral:lncRNA from 1 species
AAUCUCGUACUCCAAUUGGUAAGGAUGUGUAUUAUUGUUUUGACUAUAGACUUUCUUCAAAUAUUCCCCAUUGUUUUGGCAGUUUUAUAGGGCCUUAAAUUAAGCACGAUAACAUGAUCAAUAGAACUUAAGAUCAUGUCAUUAUACAUGCAUGUUUUACAACCCAUUAAACUAGUUCUUUAGAAUCUAUACGUGUUGUAGAACUACCAUCAAUAUGACCCCACAAAUCAUUACUGGUAACAAGUAGCUGAAAUUGAAAUUCCUAAGUAUAAUAAUUCUUACUAGUAAAUCAAACUCCAAAGAUGUCCGAAGAAUUGACAAUAGACAUAUCACAUGAGACAGUGAAUCCAAGAAGAUUACCACAAAGUGAAGAGUAACUAUAACCAAAAAUACCCAUGUAAAGAAUCACCAUAG